CUUGGUCAUUUAGAGGAAGUAAAGUCGUAACAAGGUUUCCGUAGUGAACCUGCGGAAGGAUCAUUA
rnacentral:rRNA from 1 species